GACGAACGCUGGCGGCGUGCCUAAUACAUGCCAGUAGAACGCUGAAGAGAGGAGCUUGCUCUUCUUGGAUGAGUUGCGAACGGGUGAGUAACGCGUAGGUAACCUGCCUUGUAGCGGGGGAUAACUAUUGGAAACGAUAGCUAAUACCGCAUAACAAUGGAUGACACAUGUCAUUUAUUUGAAAGGGGCAAUUGCUCCACUACAAGAUGGACCUGCGUUGUAUUAGCUAGUAGGUGAGGUAAUGGCUCACCUAGGCGACGAUACAUAGCCGACCUGAGAGGGUGAUCGGCCACACUGGGACUGAGACACGGCCCAGACUCCUACGGGAGGCAGCAGUAGGGAAUCUUCGGCAAUGGGGGCAACCCUGACCGAGCAACGCCGCGUGAGUGAAGAAGGUUUUCGGAUCGUAAAGGUCUGUUGUAAGUCAAGAACGGGUGUGAGAGUGGAAAGUUCACACUGUGACGGUAGCUUACCAGAAAGGGACGGCUAACUACGUG
rnacentral:rRNA from 1 species